rnacentral:lncRNA from 1 species
UAGUUUUUCCCUCCUGCCGCUACCGCUUGAGCUUAUAGCGGCAGUUUAUCCGGAUUUCUAACAACCUAUAUUACUUCUGUCCGCAGUUUAAUAGUGCAGACAAAACAUAUGUCCAAAAUACCGCUCUUAAUACAAGUUUUUCGUCCACAAUAUUAAACUGCGGAACCUUCUCUUUAGUAUUGAUUGAUUUAUUCCAUUCCUUCUCCUCCUCUGCCUCUACCUUCCUCCUCUGCCUCUACCUUCAUCACUAUCACGUCUGACUAUCUCCAUCACCAAAAAUUUCUCUAAUCCCCAAUUUUCAGAUCAUAUUUAUAUUGGGUUGUGAUUUUAAAAGAAAAUUUCAUGAGUUUCUUCAGCAAAGUUGAAAUCAAACUUUGGAUGGAGAGAUUUUUGAGUAAAGUACAUGAAUUUCUUCAAAUAAGAUGAAACCCAAAUUGAAUUACAAAUUGGAUAUUCUCUCUAUCAAGGCAUAUUUGGGCAUAUGCCCAAAUUCGAAGGUAAUUUUACAAUUAACAAAAAUUUCGGGGUUUUUUUUAGUUUCAUAUGGUCGCGAUUGCAAAUUAUGGAUUUCAUGUUAUAAGUAAUGAGGAUGACUUUGGUCAUUUGGUGGGCGGUGGAAAAGACCGCAACAGCAAAUGUUGGAGAAUUUGUUGUGGCUGAAGAGGGAUGGUGGGAGGAUUAGGAGGAAAGAAGAUGGGGGUGUUGUUGUAGAGGGAGAAAGUGGUUUUAG